rnacentral:rRNA from 1 species
UACGAAGGGGGCUAGCGUUGUUCGGAUUUACUGGGCGUAAAGCGCACGUAGGCGGAUCUUUAAGUCAGAGGUGAAAUCCCAAGGCUCAACCUUGGAACUGCCUUUGAUACUGGGGAUCUUGAGUCCGGGAGAGGUGAGUGGAACUGCGAGUGUAGAGGUGAAAUUCGUAGAUAUUCGCAAGAACACCAGUGGCGAAGGCGGCUCACUGGCCCGGUACUGACGCUGAGGUGCGAAAGCUAGGGGAGCAAACGGG